rnacentral:lncRNA from 1 species
UUUAUUAACAGGGUCUUCUUUGUGGAUCAUUGAUUGCUCAUUAUUAUAAUCAUUGGCCAAUGAAGUUCCCAAAUUUUGGUGUCAAAACUGUUUGUGAUGAGGCACUGAUUAUAGUUUAAAAUUAAGUAAGAGCUAAGACUUAGCAUUCAGUCCUUAGUUACCAAAUUAGCCUUAUCUUUCUUGACUUACCUUUUCUUCAAAUGUUUUAAAGAAAGAGGAAAUUAGGAGGAAGAGGCAUAGUAAGCUGUUAGCAAGGCUUAUGUCUCAUAUACGACGGCUACUUCCCUGUGUGAUUUGUAAGUUUCUCAACUCUUUCAUUUUUCCUCACCACUUGCACUGGACUUUAAACAAAUAUAAAUAAAUUGAUUUAUUUUCAUGCAUUGCUUAAUUUUGUAGUUUGAUUUGCAUUGUGAUUUGUUUGAAGUUUAGUGGUUUUUUUGUACUGUGGUGUACUGGCAUGAUUGUUUUUGGUUAUGUGCUUAUCUAUCUUGUGAAUGUUAUUAAAUUAAAUAGUUCUAAGGAAUUAAUCAGCAACUGAACAUCUUUGAUUUUGGUUCCAGUAUUGGUAUAAAAUAUAGAUUGAUCCUCUGUGCUAAACUUAUACAUGAUACUUCUAGUAAAUAAAUAUUGAUGCAAACACUAAAUUUGUAGUAUAUAAUAUGUUUGUUGCUGUUUUGAUACCUAGGAAUAUUCCAAGUUACAUUGUAUAGUUGGUGCCUUUUCUCUGCAUCUAAAUUUGGACUUGUUGAUUCAUGAUUUCAAGAAAGUUGUUUGUUUAAUUCCAAGAUAAUCACUUAAUGUUGAUGGUUAUAGGGCUCAUGCUUAAACUCUUGGCAUGAUUGCAGUUGAUAUUUUUUGGAUACUAUUGUGCAAUCAGCAGCACUGUAUGGCCUGCUUCUACUUUAUGCAUAAUUGCAACAAUGUAAAA